rnacentral:misc_RNA from 1 species
GACGAAGUUUACUCUUCUCCUUGAUAGGAACAAAAAAGGUUCAAUACCAGCAAAGUUCAAUUUUGUGUAUUCGUUUUCCUUUUAUAUUUUGUGCUUCUGAUUGUAUCAUUUUGAGGUUAAAUUAGAAAUAUGCGAAAAAUUUAAGUUGCCUUGGGAAAUCAUUCUUGUGCUUUGGAUUUAAUUGGGCAAAUGCAGUGGUCAGUUGUUUUCUUUGGUUCUGGAGCAUUUUCUUUAGCCAUGUUUUUCUAUGGCUCGCUAUCUAAUAAGAAUCGGGUUACUUGAAUAAACAAGAAAAU